rfam:Oryza sativa (indica cultivar-group) chromosome 9, whole genome shotgun sequence.
UUUAAGUACAACAUUAAGUUUUUUUUUGCCCAAUUUUGAUCGUUCGUAUUAUUUGAAAUUUUUUUAUAAUUAGUAUUUUUUGUUAUGAGAUGAUAAAACAUGAAAAAUACUUUACUCAUGACUGACUUAUGUUUUUAAAUUUUUUUCAAAAGUUUUUUUUAAAUAAGACGAACGAUUAAAAUUGGACGCGGAAAAUCAUGACUACAAUUGAA